UUUUGUGGCUCUGAGAGGGGAUCUUAAGGAAACUUACUGUUCUCUAUUUCUCUUUGUUUCUCCAGAUUCUUGCACAGGAGUGGAAAAACUAUGACCCAUCGCCAGUUUUUGUAUGGACUGCGAGCUAAAGAUAAUGUUUCCCGACUCCUGGUCUAGCACAUAGAAGGAACUCAGUGUUUGAAAAAGGAAGAAGGGAGGGGAGGUAGAGAAUCAUAGAGUAGGUUGCUCUCUGG
rnacentral:lncRNA from 1 species